UUAUCCUACCAACGGUACAUCAAAUCUUCUUGGACAUGGACCCGAUAGCCAUCACAUCUGAGCAGCAUUUUGGGAUAAUAUUCCUAAUCCUGUUGACGAAAUUCCAGCAUCUUGUAGUGACUGUUAUUCAAGUUAUGGUGAAUUUUGUCAAGUGUAUUCUGGAAAUACAAAAAAAUUAGUGGAUUUGUGCUAGACAAUUUAAUUUUAAGAGAGAAAAUUUGUCUGAAUUGUCAUACGAAGACGAAACUGGUGUUCAUGUAAAGUGUUAUUUGUUGGUACUGGUUUUUUAAAAGUGAAUCUGGACAUUGGAACAAAUAAAAAAUUUAUAUUUCUUUGGAUCCAAAAGGGUUUGGUAUGAUAGGUAUAUCUAGCUACCUAGCCAUUUCGAACUUGAAUGGAAUAAAGCUGGAAACCCGGGAUGUGAUUCAAGACAGGAUUGAGCCCAGUACGAACUCUAUUUUUGAUUGUCGGCUGGCAUAUGACUGUCUGGUAGAGGAAGGCGUUAAACACUUUAUUGAUAACCACAUCGUUAACUUUGUUGAUCCCCAGACAGGCUCAUACCAAUACUUGUGUAGAGGAAGUGGCGGGAUGUCAAGAAUUUAAUGCCUAAAUUUGACAGGGGAAAGGAACACCUCAUUGUAUACCUGGCCACUUCCUACAUCCAGCUGUAUGUCCAAGAACCUGCACAACGGCUCCUUUACGUUUUCCACAAAGCAGCACCACAUCUUUUAUCAACCUACACUGUAAGUGGAUGCUUGCCCAACAUCUGACCUCUUUGCGACCGCUCCAGAAAAUGAUGAAUCGACUUCUUGUCCAACUGGGAUGCCGGUACCUGUCCACUUGACCACAGCUGCAGGGGAGUAUUACUGGAAGUCUUCUUCAGCCUCCCCAACUUGAUAUCCAACCUUAUGAGAGUCACUGAGAUCCAACAUUCAAGUUCAAGUUUGGAGGAGUCAUGAAAGCCUCGCAAUAUGAGUACUGAUAGUUGCCCAUUUAAUAGGACCAUUGCCACCCUUAGCAUGCAAGUUCAAAUUGGGAGGCAUGAAAGCCACUCGGUAUAAACUGUGAUAGCCAUAGAGUUGCUGUAGACUUGUGGGUCGUUCUCUGGAGUGGAGAUUCCUGGAGAACAGUUUGUUAAUCCUCAUUUUUGUGAACUGAAAUUUGUGUAAGACUUUUUUAUCGUUUUUAAAUAAAUCUUUGGUUGUACUCUCCUAUAUAUCAAGAGUACAUUUUGUUGUAAAUCUAGUGUUGUCCUGAAGAAGGUCUUAGGUUAAUGGCUGAAACAGCCUUGGAUUUGGAAAUAAAUAAAUGAGUGAAAUAUAA